AUUGGAUGAGCCCGCGGCCUAUCAGCUUGUUGGUGGGGUAACGGCCCACCAAGGCUUCGACGGGUAGUUGGCGUGAGAGCGUGGCCAACCACACUGGGACUGAGACACGGCCCAGACUCCUACGGGAGGCAGCAGUGGGGAAUAUUGCGCAAUGGGCGAAAGCCUGACGCAGCGACGCCGCGUGGGUGAUGGAGGCCUUCGGGUCGUAAAGCCCUGUGGGGAGGGAAGAAGCCUUCGGGCUGACGGUACCUCCUUAGCAAGCACCGGCUAACUACGUGCCAGCAGCCGCGGCCGAAU
rnacentral:rRNA from 1 species